rnacentral:tRNA from 1 species
AGGGGUGUAGUUCAGUCGGUAGAACGGCGGUCUCCAAAACCGCAUGUCAAGGGUUCGAGUCCUUUCGCCCCUGCCA